CCUUAGGGAUGAGCAAAGAAAGUGGUUUCUUGAGAUAGAAUCUACUCGUGGUAAAGAUGCUUUGAU
rnacentral:pre_miRNA from 1 species